rnacentral:rRNA from 1 species
GACGUAGGGCGCGAGCGUUGUCCGGAUUUAUUGGGCGUAAAGAGCUCGUAGGCGGCUUGUCGCGUCGACUGUGAAAUCCCGCGGCUCAACUGCGGGUCUGCAGUCGAUACGGGCAGGCUAGAGUUCGGUAGGGGAGACUGGAAUUCCUGGUGUAGCGGUGAAAUGCGUAGAUAUCGAGAGGAACACCUGCGGCGAAGGCGGGUUGCUGGGCUGACACUGACUGAGGCGCGAAAGCUAGGGGGAGCAAACGGG